rfam:Bacillus sporothermodurans strain B4102 NODE_32, whole genome shotgun sequence.
UACAAGCUGCAUUGUACGUAUUGAUAAUAAAGUUUUAACCUUUAAGCUGUAACAGGGAGUUUUAUAUUGAAACUGGAAUGACAAGCUUUCGCCUACAUGGCAUGGAAGACAAGCAAGAACGUUUCUGCAAACACCCACUUUGAGGAGUGGUGGUUUAAAACUUUCUUAAUACUCAUACGGCAAAGGCGGCCUUAUA